rnacentral:rRNA from 1 species
CACGCCGUAAACGAUGAUAACUAGCUGUCCGGGCACUUGGUGCUUGGGUGGCGCAGCUAACGCAUUAAGUUAUCCGCCUGGGGAGUACGGUCGCAAGAUUAAAACUCAAAGGAAUUGACG